rnacentral:rRNA from 1 species
UACGUAGGGGGCAAGCGUUGUCCGGAUUUACUGGGCGUAAAGAGCGUGUAGGCGGCCAAACAGGUCCGUUGUGAAAACUGGAGGCUCAACCUCCAGACGUCGACGGAAACCGUGUGGCUAGAGUCCGGAAGAGGAGAGUGGAAUUCCUGGUGUAGCGGUGAAAUGCGUAGAUAUCAAGAGGAACACCUGAGGUGAAGACGGGUUGCUGGGCUGACACUGACGCUGAGGCGCGAAAGUCAGGGGAGCAAACGGG